AAAUUGGACGGUAGUUUUCCAAGAGUAAAGGAUCUCCUUUUUUAAAUAUCAAAGUUAAUAUACUGGUACGUUGUGAGUAUGAUAACUUUUGUUUAUCGUAGCCGGUAUUUAGAACAUCCACAACUAAAAAUUUAAGUUUAUCCCAAAAUUGUCUAUAAAAUUCAACCGUUAGACCAUCAAGCCCUGGUGAUUUAUUUAGUUUCAUUUUAUAAAUGCCUUGUGUGCAUUCCUCUACUGUAACUGUUCCAUCGCAUAUCAGUUUAUCCUUUUCGUCUACUUUGUUUUCUAGUUUUGUGUCAUUGAUAUAUUUUUCAGUUAAAUUUUUAUUUGCAGAUUUUACAUUAUACAAGUUUUCAUAGAAAUUUUUUAUUUUAUGGAGUAAAUUUUCUUGAUUAGUAAUUAAUUCCCCAUCCUCUCCUUUUAGUUUGCUUAUUGAUUUUUUCACUUGCCUCUUCUUUUCUAGACCGAGGAAGUAGGAAUUGUUCUUUUCCCCAAACUCAACCCAUUUUUCUCUAGAUCUAAUUUGUGCCCCUUUUGCCUUUUCGUCAUAAAUGUUACCUAAUUCUUUUUCUAUAUCUUUAAUUUCUUUUUCCAAAUUAUGAUUUUCACUAUUGUUUCUCUCAUCUAUAAGUUCCAUCUUUUGUUCCAGAUCUUGUUCUAAACUACGCCUUCGCUCUCUUGUUAACUUCGCUUUAUUUCUACAGUAAGUUGUAGUUACUUCCCUUACCUCGAUUUUAAAUCCAUCCCAUAAAAGCCUACAAUCUAUUGAGUCUUUUUUAAAUAUAUAUUUAUCAAUUAAACAUUUUAUACGUUCUUGAUAAUCUUUAUUUUGUAAUACUGAGUUAUUUAUUUUCCAAUACCCAUUUCCCCUUUCUGAUAACCCUGGCUUAAAUUUUAAAAAUACACUUUGGUGAUCAGUAGACUGUAUAACAGCCGGUUUAAUUUUACACCAUUCUAUAAGAGGUAAAAAUUCUGACCCAAUAAAAAUCAUGUCUAGUCUACUAGCUUGUGAUUUAUCCUUUCUUCUCCAUGUAAAUUGCUGUUUAUUUGUGUUUAAAUUUCUCCAAACAUCCGUUAAUUUGUUAGUUUUUAUUAAUUGCUUUAAUCCGUUAACAGGUUGAAUAAAUUUACCAGGACAUAAAGACUUUCUAUCAAUUGGUUUAAGUGCAUCAUUAAAAUCUCCCCCUAGUAUAUGUAUACCAAGACUGUGUUCUUUCAAAUUAUCGCUUACUUU
rnacentral:lncRNA from 1 species